rnacentral:rRNA from 1 species
CCUACGGGAGGCAGCAGUGGGGAAUAUUGGGCAAUGGGCGCAAGCCUGACCCAGCAACGCCGCGUGAAGGAAGAAGGCUCUCGGGUUGUAAACUUCUUUUAUCAGGGACGAAGCAAGUGACGGUACCUGAUGAAUAAGCCACGGCUAACUACGGGCCAGCAGCCGCGGUAAUACGUAGGUGGCAAGCGUUAUCCGGAUUUACUGGGGGUAAAGGGCGUGUAGGCGGGAAAGCAAGUCAGAUGUGAAAACCAUGGGCUCAACCUGUGGCCUGCAUUUGAAACUGGUUUUCUUGAGUACUGGAGAGGCAGGCGGAAUUCCUAGUGUAGCGGUGAAAUGCGUAGAUAUUAGGAGGAACACCAGUGGCGAAGGCGGUCUGCUGGACAGCAACUGACGCUGAGGCGCGAAAGCGUGGGGAGCAAACAGGAUUAGAUACCCCAGUAGUC